rnacentral:rRNA from 1 species
AUACGGAGGGUGCAAGCGUUGUCCGGAUUUAUUGGGUUUAAAGGGUGUGUAGGCGGUGUAUUAAGUCAGUGGUGAAAGCCUGCGGCUCAACCGUAGAACUGCCAUUGAUACCGACACACUUGAGUAUGGAUGAGGUAGGCGGAAUUUAUGGUGUAGCGGUGAAAUGCAUAGAUACCAUAAAGAACACCGAUAGCGAAGGCAGCUUACUAGGCCAUAACUGACGCUGAGGCACGAAAGCGUGGGGAGCGAACAGGAUUAGAAACCCUAGUAGUCC